rnacentral:misc_RNA from 1 species
GAUGAAGAACGUAGUGAAAUGCGAUAAGUAAUGUGAAUUGCAGAAUUCAGUGAAUCAUCGAAUCUUUGAACGCACAUUGCGCCCGCCAGUAUUCUGGCGGGCAUGCCUGUUCGAGCGUCAUUUCAACCAUCAAGCCCCCGGCUUGUGUUGGGGACCUGCGGCUGCCGCAGGCCCUGAAAACCAGUGGCGGGCUCGCUAGUCACUCCGAGCGUAGUAAUACAUCUCGCUCAGGGCGUGCUGCGGGUUCCGGCCGUUAAAAAAGCCUUAUUUACCCAAGGUUGACCUCGGAUCAGGUAGGAAGACCCGCUGAACUUAAGCAUAUCAAUAAGUGGAGGA